UACGGAGGGUGCGAGCGUUGUCCGGAAUCACUGGGCGUAAAGCGCACGUAGGCGGCUUUCUAAGUCAGGGGUGAAAUCCUGGAGCUCAACUCCAGAACUGCCUUUGAUACUGGAGAGCUUGAGUCCGGGAGAGGUGAGUGGAACUCCGAGUGUAGAGGUGAAAUUCGUAGAUAUUCGGAAGAACACCAGUGGCGAAGGCGGCUCACUGGCCCGGUACUGACGCUGAGGUGCGAAAGCGUGGGGAGCAAACAGG
rnacentral:rRNA from 1 species